rnacentral:rRNA from 1 species
GACGAACGCUGGCGGCGUGCUUAACACAUGCAAGUCGAACGGAAAGGCCCUGCUUUUGUGGGGUGCUCGAGUGGCGAACGGGUGAGUAACACGUGAGUAACCUGCCCUUGACUUUGGGAUAACUUCAGGAAACUGGGGCUAAUACCGGAUAGGAGCUCCUGCUGCAUGGUGGGGGUUGGAAAGUUUCGGCGGUUGGGGAUGGACUCGCGGCUUAUCAGCUUGUUGGUGGGGUAGUGGCUUACCAAGGCUUUGACGGGUAGCCGGCCUGGGAGGGUGACCGGCCACAUUGGGCCUGGGAUCCGGCCCAGACCCCUCCGGGAGGAAGCAGUGGGGAUUAUUGCACAAUGGGCGGAAGCCUGAUGCAGCACCGCCGCGUGCGGGAUGACGGCUUUCGGGUUGUAAACCGCUUUCGCCUGUGACGAAGCGUGAGGGACGGUAAUGGGUAAAGAAGCACCGGCUAACUACGU